GUGAUGCAAAAACCUUCAAAGCAACUCCAGAACCUUUAUGUAAGUUUCUCCUAUUUCUCAACUGUUUUGUUUUUGUUUUUGUUUUUGUUUUUUUUGUUUGUUUGUUUGUUUGUUUUUUGUUUUUUUAGCUUCUACCAAGUGCUGGGGUAGGGUUUAUAGGCACAUAAAAGAGGAGGGAAGGAGACAACUCACUAUUAUACUGUUCUCCUUUUCCUUUAUCAGUGUGAGGAACUGGAGGCUGAUUUCAGGAUCCCUCUAAGUAACUGAUAAUUUUUUUAUUUAGCAAAGUAUAAACUCUGCUAAUAAAAUUAACAGGUGAAAGGAAAAAUCCUAUGGUUGGAUGAAGUUGUUUACCAAAAACAAACAGAAACUUUUAAAAGGAUUUCACAGUAUGAAGAUAGUAAAAAUUGAGAACAAGAAAAAUAAUUUCAGGAAAUAAGAUCUUAUGAGUCUCUUAAGGAAAAAAGGGGAGGGGAGGGGGAUGCAGACUUACCCUCUUACUGCUUUCCAUGUAAAUGUAAUAUGUAGUAAAUGCUUGACCUGAAGCUCCCUGAAAUGUACAUCCUUCAGUCAUGUUCUUGCCAGACUUACCUGUUUGUGUUUAUAUUUUAGCUGGCACUGCAGGACCCAUAACUGGAGCCAUUGGACCCAUAAUGCAAUUUACAGCACCAAUUCGAGCUACGGGACCUAUCAAGCUAUCUCAAAAAACCAUUGUGCAAACUCCAGGACCUAUUGUGCAAUAUACUGGGACCAGUGGUAAGUCCCUUAUCUAUCUUUUUCCUCUGGUGUUCUUUGAUCUUCUACAGUGUAUAGAGGGCCUGUCCCCUGUCCCAAAUGUAUGUAUUACUAUAAAGACAACAGUUUUAUACAUGUUUUCAUGCACCUCAGUUCCUAUUUGCUGGGAGUUCUCCAGGAUUGUGUUUUGUUUUUUUAGGAAAAAAGUAAGAAAAUGUCCCCAGUAA
rnacentral:lncRNA from 12 species